CAGACGGGGCGCUGUCUAAAUGACAGGCUAAGAGAACAUUCUUCAUAUUUAAAGGCCCUGAACAACUCCACGCACCUUGCUGCGCAUUGCAAGGAUUGUGGCUGUAAGCCAAUUUUCGAUGAAACCGAGAUUAAACGCAGAUCCAAAGGCAGACUCGAAAGAGAAAUUCCAGACGCAGGUCAGAUUCGCGCUCAUGCUAACCUCUGUAUUAGUGCCCCGUCAGUGUAUCCGUUCCGUUCCUUGCCCUUGGCCGAAGUUUCCACUUCGCCUCCUUUGUUUCCAUCGCUUAUCAUCCACAUCGUAGUUUCCGCAUCGCCUUAUCACCGUCUCGGCAACCAUUUUCCCAACCGUCGCACCGCCUUAGUCGCUGGAAUGACCUAAUAUCUUCGUUCAUCUGCCAGACAAGUGACCUUUAGCAUGCCUUCGAAAGAACCCAUUUCCUCAUGUCUGGCGAACCUGACACCUUCAAAAGGCUGGAUUAACGCCUCCUUAUCGUCUCGGCGUAUCGUUGCGACUUCCUCUCACAAUCGCUCUCUCCCUUUCAUUCGAGCACCGCUUCGGGGACGACGCGUUAUAUAUAUAUAUAUACGCGUUCGCUACAGCGGCACGACAGCCGGGCAAUAUCGUCGGCAGUGGCUAGUACGAAGGCGCCAGUGGACCCCCGCGAUGUUGUCCGCGACCACGGCUUCGGCUGCGUCUGUGACUGUCCUUCUCCUGGCUUUGUGCGGUGGCACGGACGCGAGAUUUAACGUGUCCUCGUUUUUCAGGCGGACGCCACAAAUGUGCGCUCCGGAUCCACGGUCGUUCCGGCUCGAAGACCGGGCGUCCUGCCCUUUCAGGCGGAGUGCGAACACGCAGGCCGGUCGGAUUCCGGCUGUAGUGCCGACGGUGAUGUGCAACUGUCCCGGCAGUCAAUGCAGUAUGUUCGACGAUUUUCGCUGUCAAGAGAUACGGGAGAGUCUUCAGGUAGUUUACGUCGAGGGCGAUGGACCAGCGUUGUUCAGGAACGAGACGUUUACGGUGGCGUGCGCCUGCGUCACCAGCAGGACGGAGCGAGGAGCACUAGACGACCUCGUUCGAGUCGGCAACGCGAUGGACUACGGCGGCGAGGCUCCGGGCCUGUGGCGAGAAAACGCUACGAGGCCGCAGAGCAAGCCGCGAGAGAGAGAAUAAACUUUAUUGCAUGAAGGA